rnacentral:rRNA from 1 species
AACGACUCUYGGCAACGGAUAUCUYGGCUCUCGCAUCGAUGAAGAACGUAGCGAAAUGCGAUACUUGGUGUGAAUUGCAGAAUCCCGUGAACCAUCGAGUCUUUGAACGCAAGUUGCGCCCGAAGCCAUUAGGCCGAGGGCACGUCUGGCUGGGUGUCACACAAMG